AAACAAAACAGCUGAGGCAAAAAAGAGACGAUUCUCUCCGCCCAAAGUCGGUGCCCUCAUCCAAACUGUUUAACCGUGAUCACCAGCACCUUGGUGAGUUAGAGCCGGAAUGAAUAUCACACUACAGUUUGUUCAACACAUCUGUCAUAACUCAGGUGUCCAUUUCUGCUUCUCCUUGUUUUUAUGCUGGCAUUUUAGGGUGAAAUAGGAGGGUAUCAAUCCAGUCUCAGGUUGUCCAUCCAGCAGUCAUUCUCCAAAUCAAGUUCUUUUCAUCAUCAGUAGCUCCACGAACGGGCAAAAUAUCUUCCUCCUUGCUAGUCCUAGACCCUCGAGAGGUGGCAUCUCUGUUCUCUAUCUUUAGCCAAAUCUGAAUUAAUCUGUUCAGAAUGAACAGCAGAAUAGUCUCUGGAUUUGAUUCAAAUCCCCGAAGCACUUUGGGAAUGAGAAUGGCUAUACCAGCCCGAGAGACCCUGGCGACUUAUGAUGCCACAGAACACCUCAGGCGCUUCAGAUUGGUCCCAGGCUUCCUGCUGCCCUGAGAAAAGCCCGCCAAGCCUGCUCUGUUCUGCCCAGCAACAACAAGCAGCCAAUCAUCGCAGCAGGAAAGCCCGCCAAGCCUCGGCCUAUCCUGAACCGACACGUAACCCUCUGAGCCACCUCAGCAGUCUGCCCAGAGACGGACAGCCUAUCCUAAGCUCCUACGACACUCCGCCAGCCCUGUGUCCACGCCCCGUCCACCCCCCUAUAAAACCCUCCUACCCCAGCUGCACAGUCGCAGCCAGCCCCCGAUCUCCUUCCUUUCCUGGCCUGCCCGCUGGUCCCAAUAAACCUGAACUCGGCUUCCAACUCUCGCUCGAGCUGUUAUUUGGGGUCGGGUACCGGGCAGGGGUCUACAAGGGGGUCGCACAGUAACUGGGUUUAGAAAUUUAGAAUAAAAGAAAAACCUUUGGACUAAAGAUACCACUUUCAGGUCAUUAAGACUGAGCGGAUAACUAUAGGGUAUAGAAUUAGAAGAGAUAAUUUGUAAACAAUUUUUAGAAUGAGACUAGAGAAAACUUAGUACAGAAUCUUAAAACUAAUAACAUUUAAGGGAUAGACAGAGGAAAUGGAAUUCAUGGAAAAUCCUGAGAAGAAACUAAUAGAGAGCCAGAAAAAAACCUUAAAUGUCAUCUUUCCUGGGAGGCAGGGGAAGAACAAGGGCUUGCUCACUGAUGUCAAAUGCUACAUACAGAGAGAUCAAGC
rnacentral:lncRNA from 1 species